rnacentral:rRNA from 1 species
CAGCCGUAAACUAUGCGCGUUAGGUGUACUGGUGACCACGAGUCACCGGGGUGCCGAAGGGAAACCGUGAAACGUGCCGCCUGGGAAGUACGGUCGCAAGGCUGAAACUUAAAGGAAUUGGCGGGGGGAGCACCACAACGGGUGGAGCCUGCGGUUUAAUUGGACUCAACGCCGGAAAUCUCACCGGAUAGGACAGCAGUAUGAUUGCCAGGUUGAUGACCUUGCUUGACAAGCUGAGAGGAGGUGCAUGGCGUAGUCG